UUCUUUCUUCUUCUUUCUCUCAUGUUCUUCUUCUUCUGCAAGUGUUUGAGAGAUCAAAAGAAGAUUUGUGAUUGGUAAGAGGUGGAGAAGUUCAUGGAAUAGUUGAUAGUGAUGGUGUUGUUGUUUGUUGUUGACUCAGAAUCGAAGGAGGAAGUAAAUCAGUGAGUCAGGGUUUCUGUUGUUUGGUUUAAGCUUGAUUUGAGAUGUCAAUUGAAGAUGGGUUUCGUAGUUCGAGAGCUUGAAUAGAAGAAGAAGAUAGUUAUGCAAUUUUGAAGAUUAAGUUCGGAGGAGAAGAGUAAUUUGAUAAUUAGGGUUUCUGCUGAUAGAAGUAAGAAAUCGAUUUACUGAUGAUUAAGAAGAAUUUGAAGGAUGGGUUUUGAAGAUUAUGAGGUGAAUAAGAAAUUAAUGAAGUUAAUUUGAAGAUUCAGUUACUGAGAAGGUAAUUAGGGUUUGUAAAGCAAAGUCAGGGAAGAUGAUAUUGAAGGUUUAGAAGAUCGAUUGGAGGUGGGUUUAACUUGAAUUAAGAGUUAAAGUGGAAGUAUAACUUGAAACUGGUAGUUAGAGUUUGAUUCUGUUUUAAUGGAUGUCUGGGACUUGAAUUAGAUUUUGAUUAAGAACCGUUAGUGAUGAUGGAUUUGCAUUAUAUGAAGUCCUGGAUUGAGUUAGAAGAUGUUGCUGGUCCUAUGAUGGAUUAUGGAAUUUGUUUAAGGUAAAGCAGAGUUCGUUUCAAUUUCUUGAGCAAGACUAAAUUGAGGUAAUUGUUCUUCCCUGUAAUCUUAGUAAAGUUAUUUGGUUCUUAUUGAAGUUGUGUAAUUAUUAAUGGAUUCUUAGUUGAGUUAGAUAAAUGGGGUAUGUGAUGGAGAUGAAAUUGUUUAGCUGAUUGAUGUUGUUUUGAGAUGUAGUUAAAGUUAGCUUAUCUGAUAGAUGGCUCAGUUUGAUUACAAGAUUAUUUGAGUUGAGAUAUUAGAUGAACUGAGCAAGAUUGAUUUUAUAAGAACUGUAUGCAAUGUCAAUGGGUUGUGGUAGUAUUAUGUUGUUGAUAUCAGGAAUUGGGUAUGUAUUUGAGUUAAGAAAAUGGAUUUCACAUGCUGGAAUUGUAGAUGGUGUUGUUGAAUUGGGUUAAGAUAUAAAACUGUUACAGAUUGAAGUUGAAUCAUGGUUAGUGAGAUUGGUGUAAUACAACUGAGUUGAUAACAAUGAAGUGAUAGAAAUAGAAAUGAUUUGGUAUUGGUAUUGCAGUUGUGGUGAUUUGUCUGGGGUUGACGUUAUGAAUUUCCUGAAGUGGUAAUGUUGUUACUCAAGAAGAGUUGAAAUGAGAUUACAGUAGAAGGAGUAAUAUAGUGUUGGAAGAAAGGUUGUAAUUCAAAAGAUGAUAUGAGCGUUGCUUUGUUGGUGGAAGUAAAUGUAAGUUGCAGGGUGUGAUUGUGAAUGAGUUUUGCUAUAGAGGUUGUGUUAUUGAGAUUUGUAGAGAAGGUAAGUCUCAAAUAGAUAUAAGUGGUGAUAAUGGUGAAGUGUGCAGCGUUGUAGCUUAGAUGUAGAAAUUACAGGAUUUAUGAACUGGUAUAUGUAAAGUGAAUUGGGAGAAAGAGGGUAGUUGUACUGUUGCUUAGCAGUGGCCUUAAUGGAAGCCUGCAACUACAGAUCAAGUUUCAGAGACAGAUCAGAGUUGCCCAGCGAAAGCUUGGAGGAGUUGAUUUCAUUAGUUAGUUAACUUCGGCUAGGUUUAUUAUGUUGCAUAUUAUAAUUGUUAACCAAACGACUAUUGUAUAUAUGUACCAUUUGAGAGAAGUUCUUGUAUUUAUAUAUUUCUGAGCGGGACUAGUUUUGGGUUAAGUUUUGUAGCGGAUCUCUUAAUUGAAUGCUUAAAUUUAUGAUUUGGUUUCUUAA